AACGCACAGAUGAGUAACGCACGCGGCUCCGGCACGCAGCGCUAGCGUGAAGGCGUGAGAAAUAACUCACAAAACCGCUGGAAAUCACCGUCGAAUCAGCGACAAAGCGCCCGGACGCGACAAGCCUCAGUCAUGAAGACGAACACCUUCUCGCGGGAUUUAGGAUAGCGAGACAGAAGAACACACACACACUGAUCAUGGGCUCGUCUCUCAGUGAACCCUGCAUCUAUGAUAAGCUGUCCGAGAGCAUCGACAUCCUGCGGCAGUCCGGUUACCGGUACGGGAUGAGCGAGAGAGAGAUCGAGAAGUUCAUCAAGCAGGUGCUGGAGACCAACGAGCCCCGCAGAGACCCGCCGCAGUUCCCCAUCCUGAGAGCCACUGUCAAGCUGGUGCUGGCGGUGGGUGUUCUGCUGAUGGUGGUGCUGGUGUUCACGUAUCCUCACAGUGUGCCGCUGCUGGACUCCUCGAGCGCGGCGGGACACAACAGCUCUUCUCCUCUCAGUCACGCGCGUCUGCUAGCGCUGCCCAUCACCCAGAAAUACAAGCUGCACGGUUUUCACGAGUGGUGGGUGUCUGGCGCGCUGCAGAUGCCGCAGGGGAACUGCUCGGCCUGCGCAGACGUGACAGCGGUGCUAGAGCUGAGAGCGUCUGCGGGGAUCGAAAAACACACACAGCCACUGCUGCUCAAGGGCGGAGAGUCUCUGUCUCGCCGUGUGUCUCAUCUGGAGCAGUUUUCACAGCCGGACACACUCACAGCAACACCUGCCAACUUCACCCUGCUCUGGAGUUUCUCGUCCAGUCCCAAAGAGACGGUUCUCCACUGGUUGUUUCCUGAUGCUGAGAUCUGCCCUCUGCUGGAGAACACAGGCACAACACUGCAGCGCUGCCAGCUGACCCACAGCACCAGCACACAACACACGGGAGUGCAGGUGUGGGGUUGGCUGGUGGUAUCUGAAGGUUCUCCGUGGGUCCGUGUUCUUCCCGUGCAGCGAUGCCAAACCCUCUGCCACUCCUUCAGUCUGUGGCUGGAGCCGGGAGACGCAGUGUUCGCAGACCCGCGCUUCUGGCUGCUGGAGCUCUUCCCGUCUGGAGGUCAGAGCGUGCUGUGUGACGGCCCUGUGCUCUGAGAGUCUCAGCAGAGCUUAUAACCUCUCACACACACACACAGAUGCAUCAGCCCUUCUCCUCCUUUCUCUCAUUCAGACGUGCUUGUCUUUCUGCUGAGCUUCUGUGAUCUUCAGGUCCGGUGAUGUUUUCUGAUCUUCACGCUCAGGAACACGUUCGCUCAUAUUUCACCGCAAAAUUCUGAAAUGUGAGCCGCACGUGUUCAGCCAAUCAGAGCACUGAUGUCACAUCCUGACCGAGCGUUACGCCGCGGAACUCUCCACCAAUCAGAGAUGGCCGGCGGUGAUGACAUCACCCAGCGCACCGCCGUCAGAUCGCGCCGAUGUGUUUUGUCCUCCGGAGUUUAAUCGCUGUAAAUAAUGAGAGUAAGCUGCAGAUGAUGUGAUUUACGAACAUGAUUCAGAGAUUUAUGGUGACUGUGAGUUUACUGCAGGAUUUCUACAGUAAAUAAAAGCUGCUGUUCGUAACCUGUGUGAUUUAUGCCAUUCGUCACAUUUGGAGGGAAAACAGAUGGUGUUCAAAUACGACAAAAUAAAGCGGUUUAUAAUGAAGUGUGCAUUAGAGAUGAGAAAAACCCGUACAUUCAGUCUCAGUUUUUACUUUUUUUCUUCUUUACUUCCAAAGAAAUAUAAAUUGGAUCUAGAAUUAUAAAUAUUUAUAAAAAUUUUUAUGUGUAUAAUACUUGAAGAGUAAU